CAGCAGCCGCGGUAAUACAGAGGGUGCAAGCGUUAAUCGGAAUUACUGGGCGUAAAGCGCGCGUAGGUGGUUUGUUAAGUUGGAUGUGAAAGCCCCGGGCUCAACCUGGGAACUGCAUCCAAAACUGGCAAGCUAGAGUACGGUAGAGGGUGGUGGAAUUUCCUGUGUAGCGGUGAAAUGCGUAGAUAUAGGAAGGAACACCAGUGGCGAAGGCGGCUCACUGGACUGGUAUUGACGCUGAGGUGCGAAAGCGUGGGGAGCAAACAGGAUUAGAGACCCCCGUAGUCCCUGUCUCUUAUAA
rnacentral:rRNA from 1 species